rnacentral:rRNA from 1 species
UACGUAGGGCGCAAGCGUUGUCCGGAAUUAUUGGGCGUAAAGAGCUCGUAGGCGGUUUGUCGCGUCUGCUGUGAAAACCUAAGGCUCAACCUUGGGCUUGCAGUGGGUACGGGCAGACUAGAGUGCGGUAGGGGUGACUGGAAUUCCUGGUGUAGCGGUGGAAUGCGCAGAUAUCAGGAGGAACACCGGUGGCGAAGGCGGGUCUCUGGGCAGUAACUGACGCUGAGGAGCGAAAGCGUGGGGAGCAGACAGG